GGGACACAGAACCAAACCAUAUCACCUCGCUAGAUGGGAUUUCCCGCGUCAGGUGCUUGAUGGUGAAAAUGAAUCCUAGGACAGCUGUUUAAUCUGUGGCUGUCACUUCAGAAAUCGGGAGACAAGUUCUGGAAGCCAGAAGUCUGCAAUCCAGGUGCUGUCCAGGCUGGUGCCUUCUGGAGGCUCUGAGGGUGAGCCUCCAGCUCUUCCACCUUGCCUCUUCCAGCAUGAGGUGGCGCUGGCAGGCUUUGCUGUUCCUUGGCUUGUGCACUUGACCUUGAACCACAAGGUCUGAACUGCAGGGGCCACUUAGAUGCACAUUUCUUCUGGUUCUGCCACCCCGAGACACCAAGAUCAGCAACCUCCUCUGCCUGUUCAGUGUGAAGAUGAUGAGGAUGAAGAGC
ensembl:lncRNA novel transcript, intronic to IFT140